rnacentral:rRNA from 1 species
GAUGAACGCUAGCGGCAGGCUUAACACAUGCAAGUCGAGGGGUAUAGGUUUUCGGACCUAGAGACCGGCGCACGGGUGCGUAACGCGUAUGCAAUCUACCUUUCACAGAGGGAUAGCCCAGAGAAACUUGGAUUAAUACCUCAUAGUAUAGCAGUUUCGCAUGAAACCACUAUUCAAGUAUCAACGGUGAAAGAUGAGCAUGCGUCCCAUUAGCUAGAUGGUAAGGUAACGGCUUACCAUGGCUACGAUGGGUAGGGGUCCUGAGAGGGAGAUCCCCCACACUGGUACUGAGACACGGACCAGACUCCUACGGGAGGCAGCAGUGAGGAAUAUUGGUCAAUGGACGCAAGUCUGAACCAGCCAUGCCGCGUGCAGGAUGACGGUCCUAUGGAUUGUAAACUGCUUUUGUACGAGAAGAAACAACAUUACGUGUAAUGUCUUGACGGUAUCGUAAGAAUAAGGAUCGGCUAACUCCGUGCCAGCAGCCGCAGUAAAAC